AUACGGAGGGUGCAAGCGUUAAUCGGAAUUACUGGGCGUAAAGGGCGCGUAGGCGGUCUAUCAAGUCAGGUGUGAAAUCCCACGGCUCAACCGUGGAGGUGCAUCUGAAACUGAUAGACUCGAGUAUGGGAGAGGAAAGUGGAAUUCCCGGUGUGGAGGUGAAAUUCGUAGAUAUCGGGAGGAACACCAGUGGCGAAGGCGACUUUCUGGACCAAUACUGACGCUGAGGCGCGAAAGCGUGGGGAGCAAACAGGAUUAGAUACCCCAGUAGUCC
rnacentral:rRNA from 1 species